rnacentral:rRNA from 1 species
GACGAACGCUGGCGGCGUGCCUAAUACAUGCAAGUCGAACGCACUCUCGUUUAGAUUGAAGGAGUUUGCUCCUGAUUGAUCAACAUUUGAGUGAGUGGCGGACGGGUGAGUAACACGUGGGUAACCUGCCCUAAAGGGGGGGAUAACAUUUGGAAACAGAUGCUAAUACCGCAUAAAACCUAACACCGCAUGGUGUAGGGUUGAAAGAUGGUUUCGGCUAUCACUUUAGGAUGGACCCGCGGUGCAUUAGUUAGUUGGUGAGGUAAAGGCUCACCAAGACCGUGAUGCAUAGCCGACCUGAGAGGGUAAUCGGCCACACUGGGACUGAGACACGGCCCAGACUCCUACGGGAGGCAGCAGUAGGGAAUCUUCCACAAUGGACGAAAGUCUGAUGGAGCAACGCCGCGUGAGUGAAGAAGGUUUUCGGAUCGUAAAACUCUGUUGUUGGAGAAGAAUGUAUCUGAUAGUAACUGAUCAGGUAGUGACGGUAUCCAACCAGAAAGCCACGGCUAACUACGUG